ensembl:snoRNA SNORA73 Small nucleolar RNA SNORA73 family
CCAGCCGAGGCGAUGGACUCCAUCUCACUUUGUCUGAAAUGGACAAUGGGUGGUCUCUUUCCACAAUGUUGGAGGAGAAGCUGAGCCCCGAGUCUGCACCUGGGCACUCUGACAACUUCUCAGGGUCCUGCAGACAAUGACUGAGGACAGCCACCAUGUGGGACCGGAGC